AUUGGUCUGCUGGGGGUUGGUGACGUGAUGCUCUAUGAAUGGGGCUGCCCACAAGAAUGGAUGCAGAGCAGUCAGGGUUGGUUGGGGACAACCUUUUGCUUCUCAGUCACGGCUUGUAAGCCUGCCAUGGUAGGCCUGGGUGGGAACCACAUGGGGAGCCCACCACUUUUUCAGCCGCACAUCUGAAUACCACCGGGAGUCCAAGCGUCAAAGGCCACGGAUCAAUUUUCUUCGGGCUUAACGUCGUGCUGCAUGCCCAAGGGAUAACAACAGGUUGCAAGCAGUGACAGAGACAGUGGGGACCAUGGGGCUGGAGGCUUGCAGAGGGAACUGAGCCUCGGCCUGUGAAGAGACCCAAAGGUGUGAGCCCCUCCCCCCGCCACCAUCAUGGAGCCCCUGAAGGAGAGGGCUGGGUGGUGCGCAGGGUACCGGGGGGAGGAGGCGCUGGCCGAAACAAGGCCCCUGCUGCGAGAGGACCCUUGUCAGGAUGGCGUUGACAUGGGCAUUGAACCCAUAGGCUGGGGGUCUGAUGACCCGGACUUAGAUGAAGAUGAGCUCGGCCCAGAUCCUGUUCGGGUCCUGAUGUUGCCACUCCAGGCCCAUCACGCCAUGGAGAAGAUGGAAGAAUUUGUCAUGAAGGUUUGGGAGGGCCGCUGGCGUGUCAUGCCUUACGAUGUACUGCCCGACUGGCUAAAAGACAACGACUUCCUCCUACAUGGGCACCGGCCACCCAUGCCAUCAUUCCGCGCCUGCUUUCGCAGCAUCUUUCGCCUCCACACAGAGACUGGGAACAUCUGGACACAUCUGCUGGGGUUCCUCUUCUUUCUGGUUUCGGGCAUUGGAUACAUGAUCAGCCCCAACAUGAAAUAUGUUGCCCCUAUCCAGGAGCGAGUUGUCUUUGGCAUGUUCUUCUUAGGAGCCAUUCUUUGCCUCUGUUUCUCCUGGCUAUUCCACACAGUCUACUGCCACUCUGAGAAGGUUUCUCGUACCUUCUCCAAAUUGGACUACUCUGGAAUUGCCUUGCUCACCAUGGGUAGCUUUGUACCCUGGCUGUAUUACUCCUUCUACUGCUCACCACAACCCCAACUCAUCUACCUCAUCAUCAUUUGUGUGCUGGGUGUGACCGCCAUCAUGGUAUCACAAUGGGACCACUUUGCCACUCCACAGUACCGGGCAGUCCGGGCAGGGGUGUUUCUGGGUCUAGGGCUGAGCGGGCUGGUGCCCACCCUCCAUUUCAUGAUCGCGGAAGGAUUCAUCAAGGCCACAACAGUGGGGCAGAUUGGGUGGCUCUUCCUAAUGGCUGUCCUCUACAUCCUGGGGGUGGGGCUCUACGCAGCCCGAAUUCCUGAACGCUUCUUCCCUGGCAAGUGUGACAUAUGGUUCCACUCCCACCAGAUCUUCCACGUACUGGUGGUGGCAGCAGCCUGUGUCCAUCUCCAUGGGGUCUCCCAGCUGCAGGCUUUCCGCUCAUCCCUGGGUGGCAGCUGCACCGAAAACACUGUGCUCUGAUAGCCUUUGAGGCUAAACUGACCACCUCUUCCGAGCGAAGGGCCAGCCCUGCAAGUCACUUGGCAUACCGUACUUGUUAUGGACCAAGAGGGCAGAGCCACUCUUAAAGCCCUUUGCUCCACUUUAAGGAGUGGAAUAUUCUUCCUCCCCUUUCUCGUUCCUUGUAAACAAAAAUAUCUGUAUUAAGUCCCAGAUCUUUUUUUGCAGGAUGGGUGGGGGCUCUCCUUUCCUUCUAGGCCAAGGAAGCCUUUUUGUGGCAGGGGAAGGUAUGCAUAUAUGUGUGUGUGUGAAAGAUGCCAGAAUUUAUUUUAGCUGGUACGGAGAACCGAAGGAACAGACGGUGGUAGUGGCUGAAACAGUCCACUGAAAAAGCUUAAAAUACUGGAUGGGAUGGUGAGUCUUAAAAAGUGGAACAGAUGCACAGUCUCCUAUAGGCUUAAGGGAUGAAGUUUUUAAUGUAUGAACUGCUAAGGGAUCUGGUAUAGGUCUGACCAGGCUGCACAUGUGUGUUCAGUCUAUUUAUGAAAUACUGUCCUUCUUUUUUGGAGGGAUUUCUUAUUUUUAAAUGGGUACCAAAAGAGCACUCUACCCAAGGUAAAAUAAUCCCUUCUUGCUCAAGCAGAAGCUGGGUUUAUUGGGCUAGUAGAGGAAGGAGAGUCCAAGGCCUGGCUUCCAUGCUCAGCCUGGCCUGAGAACAAGCAGUAAGCUAGGGAUGGAUAAAGCCCAUCCCUGCCAGCUGUUCCUCCCUCCUCUUAAGGAGCCUAGUUUCUAGGGCUCUGAUCCUUGCUAGAAAAGGGGUGCAUGAUAAGCACUUUGGGAUGGGUGGGUGGGUGGGUGAGGAAACUUUAUCUAUUAUAGCUGAGAAAAUAAGGGUGGGAUGCCUUUCUUGUGUAUAAAGGGAUUAGGAGUUUGGGCUGUGGAACUGUCCUAUGAGGACACAGAUGGUGACCUGCAUCCUUUCACCAGCAAAUUAGAGUUGAGCUGUUGCAGAAACUCAUGUCCAGCUCUGUUUUUAUUCCAGAUAGAUAGAUUUAAAGACAAGAUUGUCACUUUUCAUGACAAAUAGGGUGGGUGGUUUGGUGGCUGGGGGACUUUGUUCACACUUUUAGGAACUCUGUUGCUGGUGUCAUAUUCAUCCAAAGCAACCUUCCUCCACCACCUGAGAUGUGUGCCCAUUAUCCCCAGCCAACAUUAUUGCCUGGGGAUGAUGGCAGCUAUAGAUCAGCACAUCUGCUAACCUUCAGGUUGAGGAAGAUUGAUCUGGGGACACCACAAAUGCAACUCACCUAGAGGGCCCUCUCACUUGGUUUACUUUACAUGGAAGGGCCACUAGUCCACUGGAUUAAAUGAAAUGCUCUUGCUGUAGAAUCCUCAGGCUUUCCCCCUUGGAUUAAGAGAUACAGAACUAAAAACCAGGGCAAUAUAAUCAAUUUUAUAUUAUGAAUGCCUCCCCUUUUCCCACAAUUAUAAGAUCAAGUGGCUCUAACACCUGUCUCUGGCAGCACAGCGUCUCAGCCUCAUGGAAACUCAUGCUCACUAGGUUUCUGGAUCAGCCCUGGACUCUGUAGUGGAAAAGCAAAGACUGAACUAGAAUUUGGAUUUUCUGAUUUGUCAGCUGUAUGCACUACCAGAAUUAAGCCCUGCUGUACUCCAACAUGAACCAAGCCAACGUCUCUAAGGUCCAGGACAAAAGGCAAUGUUUGCCAAAAGUUAAUGGACACGGCUGAAAGGACAAAUUGGUAUCUUUGGAAGCUCGGAUGUUUCACCGGAGGCUGUGUUUGUCUUUGUGGACUACUUGCCACGAUGUGAAUUCACAGUGGGCACUGAAGGAGCCAGGCUGGAGAAGCAAAGCAAUUGUGUCACAGGGAUUCCAGACCCCAGUCUUACAAGUUGUGUUCCGAGAGCUGGGGGGGAUGGAGGGAUACAGUAUAAUAUCUGGGGUUCAUCUCAUUGCUGAAGAGGCACUAGGGUGUGGUGGCUUAUGGCUGGAGCAAACAGGUGAACCAAAAUUAAGCACAUUGGAAAAGGACAUUCAUGGUUAUGAUUGUCCUCUCCAGGGAAUUUACAAAGGCUGGCUUUCCCCGUUCUAGUCGUUUGCUCCGAAGCAGGGCAUCUGCACAGCCAUUGACACCUAGUUGCUCUGUACAUAAUAAACCAUGUCUCUCUUUGUGAACUAUUCUUUAAAGACAUCACUUCCUCACCCUAUACAUUCCCACUCCAAAAUGGCUCCACGGCAAUCCUUGCCUCUCCUUCCCUCCCAUCCCUUUCUCUCCUUCCCUAUCUUUGUGGGAAGCGCCAAGGAGCGCCUUUGUUUCUAAGAGUUUGGUUAUUUUUCUACUGGCCGUUGUGAUAAUAAUAAUUAAAAAAAAGUUCUUAGAAGCCAGACACUUGAAAAAAAUAAGAAAAAGUAAAAAAAAUAUUUAAA